rnacentral:rRNA from 1 species
GACGUAGGGGGCGAGCGUUGUCCGGAUUUACUGGGCGUAAAGAGCGCGUAGGCGGCUAGUUAAGUGAGAAGUGAAAUCUCCAGGGCUCAACCCGGAAACUGCUUUUCAUACUGGCCAGCUGGAGGGACGCAGGGGUGACUGGAAUUCCCGGUGUAGCGGUGAAAUGCAUUGAUAUCGGGAGGAACUCCAACAGCGAAGGCAGGUCACUGGGCGUUUCCUGACGCUGAGGCGCGAAAGCGUGGGUAGCAAACAGGAUUAGAAACCCGUAGUCC